UACGUAGGGUGCGAGCGUUGUCCGGAAUUAUUGGGCGUAAAGAGCUCGUAGGCGGUCUGUCGCGUCGGUCGUGAAAACUUGGGGCUUAACCCUGAGCUUGCGGUCGAUACGGGCAUGACUGGAGUUCGGCAGGGGAGACUGGAAUUCCUGGUGUAGCGGUGAAAUGCGCAGAGAUCGGAAGGAACACCAGUGGCGAAGGCGGCUACCUGGCCGGAUACUGACACUGAAGCACGAAAGCGUGGGGAGCAAACAGG
rnacentral:rRNA from 1 species